UCCUACGGGGCGCAGCAGUAGGGAAUCUUCCACAAUGGGCGAAAGCCUGAUGGAGCAACGCCGCGUGGGUGAAGAAGGUCUUCGGAUCGUAAAACCCUGUUGUUAGAGAAGAAAGUGCGUGAGAGUAACUGUUCACGUUUCGACGGUAUCUAACCAGAAAGCCACGGCUAACUACGUGCCAGCAGCCGCGGUAAUACGUAGGUGGCAAGCGUUAUCCGGAUUUAUUGGGCGUAAAGCGAGUGCAGGCGGUUUGUUAGGUCUUAUGUGGAAGGCUUCCGCUUUACC
rnacentral:rRNA from 1 species